rnacentral:rRNA from 1 species
GAUGAACGCUGGCGGCGUGCCUAAUACAUGCAAGUCGAGUGAACAGACGAGGAGCUUGCUCCUUCGACGUUAGCGGCGGACGGGUGAGUAACACGUAGGUAACCUACCUAUAAGACUGGGAUAACUUCGUGAAACCGGAGCUAAUACCGGAUAAUAUUUCGAACCGCAUGGUUCGAUAGUGAAAGAUGGCUUUGCUAUCACUUAUAGAUGGACCUGCGCCGUAUUAGCUAGUUGGUAAGGUAACGGCUUACCAAGGCAACGAUACGUAGCCGACCUGAGAGGGUGAUCGGCCACACUGGAACUGAGACACGGUCCAGACUCCUACGGGAGGCAGCAGUAGGGAAUCUUCCGCAAUGGGCGAAAGCCUGACGGAGCAACGCCGCGUGAGUGAUGAAGGUCUUCGGAUCGUAAAACUCUGUUAUUAGGGAAGAACAAACGUGUAAGUAACUGUGCACGUCUUGACGGUACCUAAUCAGAAAGCCACGGCUAACUACGUG